UACGUAGGGGGCAAGCGUUGUCCGGAGUUACUGGGCGUAAAGCGCACGCAGGCGGUCUGUUAAGUUUGGAGUGACAGUUGGUGGCUUAACUGCCAAAGUGCUUCGAAAACUGACAGACUUGAGGGCUUCAGAGGGACACGGAAUUCCGGGUGGAGUGGUGAAAUGCGUAGAUAUCCGGAGGAACACCGGUGGCGAAGGCGGCUUCCUGGACCGACACUGACGCUGAGGCGCGAAAGCUAGGGGAGCAAACGGG
rnacentral:rRNA from 1 species